UGGGAAAGUGGUGUCCCUAUUGAGGACCUGA
rnacentral:piRNA from 1 species